GAGGAAAGGAACCAACAGGGAUUGCCCUAGUAACGGCGAGUGAAGCGGCAAAAGCUCAAAUUUGAAAUCUGCCCCAGGCCGAGUUGUAAUUUGCAGAGGAUGCUUUUGGCACGGUGCUUACUGAGUCCCCUGGAACGGGGCGCCAGAGAGGGUGAGAGCCCCGUAAAGUGAGAUGCCUAGCCAGUGUAAAGCUCCUUCAACGAGUCGAGUAGUUUGGGAAUGCUGCUCUAAAUGGGAGGUAAAUUCCUUCUAAAGCUAAAUACUUGCCAGAGACCGAUAGCGCACAAGUAGAGUGAUCGAAAGAUGAAAAGCACUUUGAAAAGAGAGUCAAACAGCACGUGAAAUUGUUGAAAGGGAAGCGCUUGUGACUAUUUCUUACGCCGGGUCGACCGCUGACCGUUCUCGGUAGUGUACUCGGCCCGGUGGUAGCCAGCAUCGGUUGCCGUGGGGGGAGAACAGCGUCGAGAAUGUGACUCGUAGAGUGUUAUAGCUCGGGGCAUAAUACCCCCAUGACAACCGAGGACCGCGAUCGCGAGGAUGCUGGUACAAUGGUUAUUGGCGACCCGUCUUGAAACACGGACCAAGGAGUCAAGGUUUUGCGCAAGUGUUUGGGUGUCAAACCCGCACGCGUAAUGAAAGUGAACGUGGGUGAGAGCUUCGGCGCAUCACCGACCGAUCCUGAUGGAUUCGGAUGGAUUUGAGUAGCAGCGCAGUGCCUUGGACCCGAAAGAUGGUGAACUAUGCUUGGAUAGGGUGAAGCCAGAGGAAACUCUGGUGGAGGCUCGCAGCGGUUCUGACGUGCAAAUCGAUCGUCAAAUCUGAGCAUGGGGGCGAAAGACUAAUCGAACCAUCUA
rnacentral:rRNA from 1 species